rnacentral:rRNA from 1 species
UACGUAGGGGGCAAGCGUUGUCCGGAUUUAUUGGGCGUAAGGAGCGUGUAGGCGGCCAGGUAGGUCUGCUGUGAAAACUCGAGGCUUAACCUCGAGAUGUCGGCGGAAACCAUCUGGCUAGAGUCCGGAAGAGGAGAAUGGAAUUCCCGGUGUAGCGGUGAAAUGCGCAGAUAUCGGGAAGAACACCCGUGGCGAAGGCGGUUCUCUGGGACGGUACUGACGCUGAGACGCGAAAGCGUGGGGAGCGAACAGG